rnacentral:rRNA from 1 species
GUCUACAGCCAUACCACCCUGAAUGUGCCCAAUCUCAUCUGAUCUCAGAAGCUAAGCAGGGUGAGGCCUGGUUAGUACUUGGAUGGGAGAAAGGCUACCUUACACAUUUCCUCACAGGAAAAAUCUCUGGAGUUAUACC